rnacentral:lncRNA from 1 species
UCUCUUCCAUUUGGCCAAUACUUUUUGUGUCUAUAUUCUAUAGACUUAAGAUCCUCAUCUAUGCUUAGCGCUAUGAUAGUUGUCGUCGACGAACAUGCUAUAUCGAUUCAAAAUAAAUUUUCAUAAAGACAUAACAUAGAGAUCUUCAUUCAUAUAUUCAGGUACCUGAAUCUCUUAUGAGAUUUUAUGAAGUGUUAUUUAAUGUGACCUUCUAGAUCACUUGCCUCCUUUAUUAUGAUCACUUUGAUCAUGUGCUCAUCUUCUUUAUCAAGAAGUUCUAUUUGAAACC